rnacentral:rRNA from 1 species
GAUUAUGGCUCAGGAUGAACGCUAGCGGCAGGCCUAAUACAUGCAAGUCGGACGGAGGGGCCCUCGGGGCCCUGAGAGUGGCGCACGGGUGCGUAACGCGUAUGCAACCAACCCCGCACUGGGGGAUAGCCGGUGGAAACGCCGGGCAAUACCCCCAUGCCGACGAGAGCGGGCAUCCGUUCUCGUCGAAAGACGCGAGUCGGUGCGGGACGGGCAUGCGUCCCAUUAGGCUAGUUGGCGGGGUGACGGCCCACCAAGGCCACGAUGGGUAGGGGAUCUGAGAGGACGGUCCCCCACACUGGUACUGAGGCACGGACCAGACUCCUACGGGAGGCAGCAGUAAGGAAUAUUGGGCAAUGGGGGGAACCCUGACCCAGCCAUGCCGCGUGAAGGGAGUGAGGCCCUACGGGUCGUGAACCUCUUUUGCCCGGGGACAAAGGCGCGCACGCGAUGCGCGUUUGCGGGUACCGGGCGAAUAAGCAUCGGCUAACUCCGUGCCAGCCGCAGC